CACGUAGGGCGCAAGGCGUUGAUCCGGAAUUAUUGGGCGUAAAGUAGCUGCGUAGGCGGUCUGUUGCGUCCGCUGUGAAAACCCGGGGCUUAACCCGUCGGGCUGGCAGUGGAUACGGACAGACUAGAGGUAGGUAGGAGAGAAUGGAAUUCCCGGUGUAGCGGUGAAAUGCGCAGAUAUCGGGAGGAACACCGGUGGCG
rnacentral:rRNA from 1 species